AACGAUCGCUGGCGGCAUGCCUAACACAUGCAAGUCGAACGAGACCUUCGGGUCUAGUGGCGCACGGGUGCGUAACGCGUGGGAACCUGCCCUUAGGUUCGGAAUAACUCCCCGAAAGGGGUGCUAAUACCGGAUAAUGUCUUCGGACCAAAGAUUUAUCGCCUUUGGAUGGGCCCGCGUUGGAUUAGCUAGUUGGUAGGGUAAAAGCCUACCAAGGCGACGAUCCAUAGCUGGUCUGAGAGGAUGAUCAGCCACACUGGGACUGAGACACGGCCCAGACUCCUACGGGAGGCAGCAGUGGGGAAUAUUGGACAAUGGGCGAAAGCCUGAUCCAGCAAUGCCGCGUGAGUGAUGAAGGCCUUAGGGUUGUAAAGCUCUUUUACCCGGGAUGAUAAUGACAGUACCGGGAGAAUAAGCGCCGGCUAACUCCGUG
rnacentral:rRNA from 1 species